GUUAGAGGAGGCAGGUAGUCUAGUGGUUAGAGUGUAGAGGAGGCAGGUAGACUAGUGGUUAGAGUGUAGAGGAGGCAGGUAGACUAGUGGUUAGAGGAGGCAGGUAGACUAGUGGUUAGAGUGUAGAGGAGGCAGGUAGCCUAGUGGUUAGAGUGUAGAGGAGGUAGGUAGCCUAGUGGUUAGAGUGUAGAGGAGGUAGGUAGCCUAGUGGUUAGAGUGUAGAGGAGGCAGGUAGUCUAGUGGUUAGAGUGUAGAGGAGGCAGGUAGCCUAGUGGUUAGAGUGUAGAGGAGGCAGGUAGUCUAGUGGUUAGAGUGUAGAGGAGGCAGGUAGUCUAGUGGUUAGAGUGUAGAGGGGGCAGGGUAGACUAGUGGUUAGAGUGUGGAGGAGGCAGGUAGCCUAGUGGUUAGAGUGUAGAGGAGGCAGGUAGUCUAGUGGUUAGAGUGUGGAGGAGGCAGGUAGUCUAGUGGUUAGAGUGUCCAGG
ensembl:lncRNA